ACAUUUCUUUUUAAAAAAUUACAUUAAUGAUCUUUCAGAUUUCAUCCCCAGAUUUCCUGAUUCUUAGACGGAAACUGCUGUUGAAGUGUUGAGUAUAUGAGGUAACCGGUAAGCCGGCAACAGUGUCAACGCCGAUGAAAUUUUCGUGAAUUCAGUCCAUGCGACAUGCGUCGAGAUUGAAAUUUUCGCUGAAAUUUCGUUCGUGCAAGCCUUUAUUCAUCUGCUAUAACAUCUGAGACAGAGAUGAGUUAUGAGCACCUCAUCGCCUGCUCCAUCCGACGAUAGAUUGUUGGAAGAUGCUCCUCUUGAUUUCCGAGAAGUGUGCAGUGUCAUUGCUCCACCGGGAUAUCUACCAACUAUCAUUAGACGAAAGCUAGAGAAAUCAGCACCCGUAGUGCCACCCCCUGUAGCGGCCUCCCCCUCCGUUGCACUGCCACAUGCUAUCGCAGUGUCAACUGUGAGCACCGUAGAUUUUGGCAAUCCUGUUCUUCUGCCCAGCAACUGUAAACCUGUAUCGUUGUCCGUGCCAGUGAUGAGUCUAUUACCCCAAGCACCACCUAAGCCAAAAGAAGCAGAUACUUAUAAUGCAGGGCCUUCUGGCGUGCAUCCCAUAAAAAAUACGCCCCAAGAAGGAGAAAAAGUCGCCCAAGAAAAAACGUCAACAUUCAGAUUUGAGUCGUUGGAAUAAAACUCCGCGGCCCCGCUUAGGAGUAGAUGAUCCAAUUCUUCCUAGACUGGAACCAAAGCCAAAGGCAGAAGCGAGUACAUCUGAACAAAAUUCCAAUCCAAAUAUUUAUACAGCACUCCCAUCAGCUGACGCCAACUCCUCGCAGGCAAGCUCUGUGAAUUCAUCUCAAUCCCAGACAAGUCUGCUUCAUCAAGCAGCAUCGGCAAUCUCUGAAGGUAAACCUGGAAACAUCAUCAAGCAUGUCUUAGUGAAUGAGCCAGAUGCUAAUCAAGAAUCUGUGGUACAAGGAUUCUUCCUAAAUUCCUUGGAAAAGAAUCUUGUGCUGGUCUCGGACUCCAAGCAAACAGCGGCUACAUCCACCUCAAGCAAUCAGCCAGUGGGCACAUUUAUAAUCCAGAAUGCCGCUCUGCACUCGUCUCUUCAGAAUGGCAACGCAAAUGGGAAAGAAACUCCGGUUCAAAGUCUGCUCAACAGUCAGAGCCUUCUCCUCAAUAGUUUAGCAAACUCGCCCAACAUGACUAAUUUUGCAAUCGCCACAAGUGCAGUGAAAAGCAAGCAGGAGACACCACCUUCAAUUCACCGAAUACUCUGCCAAGAACAAAGGCAAUUCGAAUUCGAUUCGGUUACCUGUUGGAGGUUUGCAAGGAAAAUCCUACAAUGUACUUCAACUGCUGUAUCAAUCAAUAGUACAACGUGUAGCCCAAAACAACUGGCAAUCCCCAAAUCAGUUGUGUCCUCUCCGAAUGUUCUUCUGUCUCUCGCUUCGCAGAAACAAUGCUCUUCCUCAGGUUUAUUUCAGAAUCCGAAUAUUAUCAGGCUUGCAGUCAAAAUGGGAAACUUUGCCCCGAUGUGAGCAUGCCAGUUCCACCACCCGUCAACACACCUCUCCACAAGUCUGUAAGUGUGCAUCUCAGCUUUUCAUUCAAGAAAGUCAAUAGUGAAGUGUAUUGAUUAACGCAGUUCAUCCUAUCACCAAGUGAUCAAAUGGACUGAAUGUAGGUAACAGAAAAGGAUCAAGUCACACUCCGGAAAAAACAUAAAUUAAGAGUCAUGUUCAGCCUAACUAGUCCGGAUGGUCGGGACGAGAUGUGACUUGGUUUCCCUUUGUUACUUAAAUUCGAUCAAAAUUCAACCAAAGCCAGUGUAAAAUCCCUUGCUUAGGAGUUAAUUUUUGAAACUUUUAGUGUAUUCAUCAAAUUCCAUUGAAAAUUUUGUCGGGGAGACAUGGAACGAAACUUACAAUUCAAAACUCAGAAUCUGGUUUAUUAAAAGAAUGUUGAUUUUGCACUAUUUCUAGUUGCGAAGUACAAAUCAUGAUACAAU
rnacentral:lncRNA from 1 species